rnacentral:lncRNA from 1 species
GGAGAUUGGGAAACCCUCUGGGCCCGAUGCUUUGUCUUUAGCCAAGCUGAAAAUGACGUUUCUUAUUUCUUCAAUAGUGAAACAGCUUCAAGGCAUUGCAGAUUUAAUGAUCCUUCAGGAUAUAGUUUAUUCCAAUCUAGCUCGAGAUUCUGAUGAUCAGAAUUAUCCAAAAGAGAGGGGAAGUAAGAUGAGAAGGCUUGGUGAAUUGAGUCUUCAAAUGAGAUAGUUUCUCCGUUAACAGAAAUUUCAUUAAUCUUGUUCUCCGUUUUCUGUUGCAUGCUAUUAUGUGAAAGUAAGAUGUGUUUC